rnacentral:rRNA from 1 species
CAGUAGCCGCGGGAAUACGAAGGGGGCUAGCGUUGCUCGGAAUGACUGGGCGUAAAGGGCGCGUAGGCGGCGAUCAAAGUCAGGCGUGAAAUUCCUGGGCUCAACCUGGGGGCUGCGCUUGAUACUUGGUUGCUUGAGUGGGGAAGAGGGUCGUGGAAUUCCCAGUGUAGAGGUGAAAUUCGUAGAUAUUGGGAAGAACACCGGUGGCGAAGGCGGCGACCUGGUCCUUGACUGACACUGAGGCGCGAAAGCGUGGGGAGCAAACAGGAUUAGAGACCCCCGUAGUCCCUGUCUCUUAUAC